GACAGAGGGUGCAAACGUUGUCCGGAAUCAUUGGGCGUAAAGCGCGCGUAGGUGGCCUCGUAAGUCCGCUGUGAAAGUCAAAGGCUCAACCUUUGAAAGCCGGUGGAUACUGUGAGGCUAGAGUACGGAAGAGGCGAGUGGAAUUCCUGGUGUAGCGGUGGAAUGCGCAGAUAUCAGGAGGAACACCAAUAGCGAAGGCAGCUCGCUGGGACGUUACUGACACUGAGGCGCGAAAGCGUGGGGAGCGAACAGG
rnacentral:rRNA from 1 species